AAUCCACUUCAGUUAUCAUUAGUAUCUUAAGUAAUGUAGUAACAGUAUAUUCAGGCUUAACCAUGAAAAGUGCUAUUUUGAUUUUGGUGUCCAGCAUUGUGUAUACCGUUUCUUCCAUGGGAUGGUACACCUAUAAGUUUGGUACUGAUGUAGGAGAUGUUAUAUACACUGGACAAGCACAUAUAUUACGAUAUAGCCUUAAUACCCAGGUGCCUAUUAAGGUACCUGACGGGAAACAGGUGUCUUACCUUGAGAUUAAUGUUGAAUCUUAUUCUGCGCCAAAAGUGUAUUACAACAACGAAACACAGGUGGCUUCCAUUUCAUUCCUGCCUUCUCAACUGACCGAGAGUGACUACACUAUUGUUGUAAAAGGCGUUGACGCAAAUACGACCAUAGAAAAAUAUAGACAUUGCGGAGAUGUUAAAUAACAUUAUCAAUUUGUACUGUUAUUUGAAUAUUUAAAUCUUAAUAUAUGUAACAAUCUCGGAACAAAUCUGUGAACAGCAAAGUUAGGCAGGUAUCUAAUUAUAUGGUGCGUGGGCGUAUUGCCAUGAGACAGUUGAUAUUACAAAAAUUACGUUAUCAAUAUAGUUACGUUUGUUAUGAUAUAACAAUAGGAUUCCGACAUUUCCGUAAAACUGGCAGCACAAAUUAGACAGAAAUAAAACAAAAUUUAUUGCUAAUUUUUUUUCGAAUUUGUUGGCGAAAAGUCGAUUUUGUUGCUUAAGCAAAUAUCUACGUUAAACUGGCACUAACAGAAGUUAAAUAUAGGAAAAUAAAAAAAUAUAUUUGUUGCUCUAUAGCAAGCUACGUAGGACCUUUCAAAUUUUGUUUUUUAAUUUUCAAAUCAAAUCAAAAUCCCUUUAUCAUGAAUGGCAAAUGCUUUCUUUUCAUUUUAUAUUUAUCACCACUUAAGAAAAGUUGAGCUUUAAUGAGAUAUGGUAAAUAGCUCAUUUCAACGCUUUCAAAAUUUACAGCCUCAUCUUUUUACAAAUCAUUUCAAUUACAAUAUAUGUAAAGUGAUGUAAAAAAGUCGUUCAAUAGACCGCCCACACUAGACUUAAUUUGGUCGGUCCAUCGCAUACGCGACCAUCCUCGCCCUCUGGUGUCCUCCACUUUGCCCUGCAUGACAAUGGGCUCAAUGGACCCACUCUCACGCCGGGAGCCGUGUCCGAAAAACUUAAGAAUGCGACUCUGUACUAACACCGAAAGGCGUUGUUUUAUGCCAAGUUCUUGGAGAAUGGAGACGUUGGUGCGAAAUUCAGUCCACGAAAUUCCCAGCAUUCUCCUCCAGCACCACAUCUCAAGGCAUAAAUUUUCUUGCAAUUUUCAAUGCCUUACCUUAGUAAAAAAAAAGGUGAAUGUAAAUAAUUAAUACAUAAAACAAGAGUUAUUCAGUACAGUAGAUACAUGAAUCCACACACACAGUAAAUAAAAUAAAAAAAUGCGAUCAAUUUAUAAGUGAUUAUAAGUAAUAAAUAAUAACAACGUUAAUUUUAAAAAGCGAUUCUUGGUUUUGAAACUUGGCUGGUCUGUACCGAGUCGCCGCCCGCAUGUCGUUUGAUGAAACCAUUUCGGACUAGGUAUUGAUUCGCAGUUUAAAAUAGAAACAAACUGCAGCGAAAUAAAAUAAUUUGUCUUCAGUGUCGGACCUCAUUGUAAACCAAAACAGGUAGAAACGGAGACAAAUAAAUGUGGUCAAAAUAUUACGACUUUCCAUUUAAGUAGAUGCAAUAUAUUUGUCGUCGAGGUAAACUGCACAUCCGUCAUUGGCAAGCUAUACUCUAACCCCCUUAUUCAUAAUGGUCCGCUAACUUAGGAGUGUUUAGGAGUGUUUUUUCUCAUUCUGACUUAGGUCAAUAGAAGAAGACAGAGUGAGAAUUAGCAAUGCUUUAAGUUGAAUAAUUGAAGAGUGAGGGGGCUCACAUAAACAUUGAUCUAUUCAAAACAACUGUGUCAACAGCGAAACGGCUACUGAACAGGGAUUUUUUUGCUUAGGUAGUAUUGUUAUACAAGUUAGUUGAUAAUUUAUUGUAAUAUUAUAUGAGUUGUAAUUGAUAUGUAUAUUAUGUUCACAUAUAUUGUGCUAAUUGUAUUAUAGUGUAUCUAGUUUAUAUAUAAUA